rnacentral:lncRNA from 1 species
AAUCAAUACACGAUAUUCACCACACGAUGCACAACACAAAUGAUGCAUGAGCAGCUGAAUACAUGCAAGUCACGGCAUGACAAAUCACGACAAACAAACACUACACAUUAAGUGAAGUUCAAUAUGCUACGAAUUGCAUAUUGACGAAACUCCACGUUUAAUUAUUUAGUUCUAUCCCGAUUAGAUACACGACAAUAUUAAAUGUUGUUAAACAUGG